rnacentral:lncRNA from 1 species
UUUAAUGCCAUCACUUACAACUCUUUCAUGCAUCCUUAGAUUUAUUUAACCAUCCUUCUUCCUUCUGCCUCUAUAUUUUCCUUCCUCCUCCCUUCCCAAUUAAAUCCCCACCCAGGCUGCUACUAUUUCCUCCUUCAUAUCACCUCUAUGUUAUUAUCCACCUGUAUAAAGCUUUCCCUGACUUCACUCUCCUGUUGCCAAGGGAGCUCUCAGGAUAUACUUUUCUUGAGUUGCCACCCAUGCUGGAAUGAGCUUGUGGGUAAUGCUGCUGUUUUUGAGAGGUUCUUGCUUCUCUAAGUUGCUCCUUACCUCUGCCCUAUCUUUAAAUCCAGUAAAAUUACUAGAUCGCUAUAGGCUAAACUUGGGUCAAUGGAAUAAUUUCUUAGCUCUUUCAUCUGUACCACAUCUUGGGUAAAUUGACAUUUGUUCAUAUCUCCCCAAGGAAAAGUCAUGCAACAGCCUGCUGUUCCAUGUUUCUUCACAGUGUGAUGAUGAAACUGUUUUCCUCACUUCCAGAUCUUCAUAGGAGAUUUUAUAACACUACGAUUUUCUUAGAACUUGCAUUCUUUACAAGGACAAAACAAUCAUCUAUAAUAUGUGCCUGUGACCUCAACUUGACCACCAGAUAUUCACUAUCACUUGGAAUAUUCAGCUUUUAUGACUGUCAAAAGUGCAUCCAGGGCUGGAGAACUAUGCUGCACAAAAUUAAGGACCUAUGUUGGUAUUCCAAAAACUCAAAUUUUAAAAAUGCCAUAUGUGAAAGCAUGUGCCUAUAACCCCAGAGCUGAGGGUUGAGAUAGGUGGGCCUAGCCAUAAAUGUCUGAUGCC